CCUACGGGGGGCAGCAGUGGGGAAUAUUGGGCAAUGGACGAAACUCUGACCCAGCAACGCCGCGUGAAUGAUGAAGGUCUUCGGAUUGUAAAGCUCUUUUCUAAGGGAAGAAGAAAGUGACGGUACCUUAGGAAUAAGUCUCCGCUAACUACGUGCCACCAGCCGCGGGAAUACGUAGGAGGCGAGCGUUAACCGGAAUGACUGGUCGUAAAGGGUGCGUAGGUGGUUUGGCAAGUUAGUAGCGUAACUCCAAGGCUCAACCUUGGAAGUUCUACGAAAACUGUUGGACUUGAGUGCAGGAGAGGCAACCGGAAUUCGUAGUGUAGCGGUGGAAUGCGUAGAUAUAAGGAGGAACACCAGUGGCGAAGGCGGGUUGCUAGACUGUAACUGACACUGAGGCACGAAAGCGUGGGGAGCAAACAGGAUUAGAUACCCCAGUAGUC
rnacentral:rRNA from 1 species